rnacentral:rRNA from 1 species
CAAUAGCGUAUAUUAAAGUUGUUGCAGUUAAAAAGCUCGUUGUUGGAUUUGUGGCGUACGGUGUGUUCCGGGCACUUGUUGUCUGAGUAACCUGCUGUUGCCAUCCUUGGGUGGAACCUGUGUGGCAUUAGGUUGUCGUGCAGGGGAUGCCCAUCAUUUACUGUGAAAAAAUUAGAGUGUUCAAAGCAGGCUUAUGCCGUUGAAUAUAUUAGCAUGGAAUAAUGAGAUAGGACUUUUUUGCUAUUUUGUUGGUUUGCGCAAAGAGGUAAUGAUUAAUAGGGACAGUUGGGGGUAUUCGUAUUCCAUUGUCAGAGGUGAAAUUCUUGGAUUUUUGGAAGACGAACUACUGCGAAAGCAUUUACCAAGGAUGUUUUCAUUAA